UAAAAACGACUCUCGGCAACGGAUAUCUCGGCUCUCGCAUCGAUAAAAACGUAGCAC
rnacentral:rRNA from 1 species